GCAGUGGGGAAUAUUGGACAAUGGGCGAAAGCCUGAUCCAGCAAUGCCGCGUGAGUGAUGAAGGCCUUAGGGUUGUAAAGCUCUUUUACCCGGGAUGAUAAUGACAGUACCGGGAGAAUAAGCUCCGGCUAACUCCGUGCCAGCAGCCGCGGUAAUACGGAGGGAGCUAGCGUUAUUCGGAAUUACUGGGCGUAAAGCGCACGUAGGCGGCUUUGUAAGUAAGAGGUGAAAGCCUGGUGCUCAACACCAGAACUGCCUUUUAGACUGCAUCGCUUGAAUCCAGGAGAGGUGAGUGGAAUUCCGAGUGUAGAGGUGAAAUUCGUAGAUAUUCGGAAGAACACCAGUGGCGAAGGCGGCUCACUGGACUGGUAUUGACGCUGAGGUGCGAAAGCGUGGGGAGCAAACAGGAUUAGA
rnacentral:rRNA from 1 species